rnacentral:rRNA from 1 species
CCGACCCUGUUGCCUCGGGGGCGACCCGGACUCGUGCCGGGGCCCCCGAUGGACCUUCAAACACUGCAUCUUUGCGUCCGAGUCAGUAUUUGAAUAAAUCAAAACUUUCAACAACGGAUCUCUUGGUUCUGGCAUCGAUGAAGAACGCAGCGAAAUGCGAUAAGUAAUGUGAAUUGCAGAAUUCAGUGAAUCAUCGAAUCUUUGAACGCACAUUGCGCCCUCCGGUAUUCCGGGGGGCAUGCCUGUUCGAGCGUCAUUUCACCACUCAAGCCUGGCUUGGUCUUGGGCGAUCGCGGUCCGCCGCGCGCCCCAAUGUCUCCGGCUGAGCGACCGUCUCGAAGCGUUGUGGUAACCCAAAUCGCUUGCGGAGUGCGGGAGUUCGGGCCGUUAAACACCCCCAUACAGGUUGACCUCGGAUCAGGUAGGGAUACCCGCUGAACUUAAGCAUAUCAA